GGUACUAUCUCUAACAGGACGGCAUGGAGAAACACCAGAAUCUUUUAUUCCUGGGCUAGUAGGUUCUGACGAGCUCUUUUCCUAACCGGACCCUAUAGGAGCUUCCGUCUGCCAGUGUAUUAAAUUUGGGAAUGGAAGAGGCCUCUAAGUUCUUAUUCCCUCUUAGUGUUGACCGAAACUUUGCUUUCUUAAAAACUGAGCCCUCCAACUCUGAGGCUGACUGAAAAAGUCUUAAAACUGAACACAACCAAAACUUCUGACAUUUCCCCAUGGAACCGAACUCAUCGGUGUGUGUGUGAUUGGCUAGAGCUACCCGCCCGCCUCGACCCAGCCCUCGGCCGGCCCCGGCUUUGACCCCACCCGCCACUCCCUCCUCCGCCACUUCUCCCGCCCCGUCCAGACUUCGCCACCCGGUGUCGUGUCUAGUAGCGCUCCGGGAACUGAAGGGAGUUGACUUUCGGGACCUGAGGCGUUCUGCGGUCUGCUGCGGUGAAGAUCAUGGAGGUCGGGGCUUCUGGCGAACCUGAGACGGUCGAAGUGCUGCCCCAGCACAAGUUCGACCACACGUCCCUGGAGGACUACCUGCGCCAGCACCUGCCCGGUUUUGAGGCCGAACCUGAAACCACAAUGACCGUUGUCCAAUACAGAUCAGGACAGUCCAAUCCAACCUUUCAUCUCCAGAAGGGCUCUCAAGCAUAUGUACUCAGAAAAAAACCACCGGGUCCACUUCUUCCUAAAGCACACAAGAUUGAUAGAGAAUUUGAAGUCCAGAAAGCCUUGUUUUCAACUGGAUUCCCUGUUCCCAAGCCUUUACUAUACUGCAGUGAUUCUUCUGUCAUUGGAACAGAAUUUUACGUGAUGGAACAUGUGCAGGGUCGAAUCUUUCGUGAUGUCACAAUUCCUGGAGUUAGCCCAGCAGAGCGCUCAGCCAUGUAUGUGGCCAUAAUAGAAACCUUGGCUCAAUUACAUUCCUUGAAUAUACAAUCACUGCAGCUGGAAGGAUAUGGUAAAGGAAUGGGGUACUGCAAAAGACAGGUAUCAACUUGGACAAAGCAAUAUCAUGCUGCAGCUCAUCAGGACAUCCCUGCCAUGGACCAGCUAUCUGAAUGGCUAAUGAAACACCUACCAGAUAAUGAUAGUGAAGAACGUUUGAUUCAUGGAGAUUUUAGACUAGAUAACGUAGUUUUCCACCCUAAGGAGUCCCGAGUUAUAGCAGUACUGGAUUGGGAGCUUUCAACCAUUGGUCAUCCUUUGUCAGACUUGGCUCAUUUUUCCCUGUUCUGCUUUUGGCCAAAGACAGUUCCAAUGAUAAACCAAAGUUCUUCUUUUCGAGAAAACAUAGGGAUACCAUCAGUAGAGGAACUGAUUUCAAUAUAUUGCCGCUGCAGGGGAAUUAAUUCUAUUCUUCCUAACUGGAAUUUCUUUCUUGCUCUUUCAUGUUUUAAAGUGGCUGGAAUAGCACAGGGUGUAUAUAGUAGGUAUCUUCUGGGAAAUAAUUCAUCUGAGAAUAGCGUUCUGUUUGCCAGUGUUGUGAAACCUUUGGCAGAAACUGGUUUACAGCUUUCAAAAAGAACUUUUAGUACUGCACUACCACAGAGUGAUACUACUGGACGGUUAUUUGAACAGACUGCGAGAGGCCAGGAAGUUCUUACUAGAGUGAAGCAUUUCAUGAAACAACAUAUCCUUCCAGCUGAAAAAGAUGUAAUUGAGUUUUAUGUUCAAAAUGAAAAUUCAGUGGACAAGUGGAGAAAACCUUUAGUGAUUGAUAAACUCAAGGAAAUGACCAAAGCAGAGGGCCUCUGGAACCUGUUUUUGCCAGCUGUAAGCGGUCUCAGCCAGGUGGACUAUGCCUUGAUUGCUGAAGAAAUAGGAAAAUGCUUUAUUGCUUCAGAUGUUUUUAACUGCCAAGCACCAGACUCAGGGAACAUGGAAGUACUCCACCUAUAUGGAAACGAGGAACAGAAGAAACAGUGGCUUGAGCCUCUGCUUCAAGGGAGCAUUACCUCCUGCUUCUGUAUGACAGAGCCCAGUGUAGCUUCAAGUGAUGCAACAAAUAUUGAAUGCAGCAUUAAGCGAGAUGGAGAUAGCUAUGUAGUUAAUGGCAAGAAAUGGUGGAGCAGUGGAGCUGGGAAUCCUCAGUGCAAAAUUGCAAUUGUUUUGGGACGAACUGAAAAUUCUUCUGGUUCCAGAUACAAACAACAUAGCAUGAUUCUUGUUCCUAUCGAUACACCUGGCGUAGAAGUUAUAAGACCUUUGUCAGUUUUUGGCUACAUGGAUAAUUUUCAUGGAGGACAUUUUGAAAUCCAUUUUAAUCAAGUGCGAGUUCCUGCAACCAAUUUAAUACUAGGGGAAGGUAGGGGAUUUGAAAUUGCCCAAGGCCGCCUGGGACCUGGCAGAAUCCACCACUGUAUGAGAACAGUAGGUUUGGCGGAACGUGCUUUGCAGAUCAUGUGUCAACGUGCAUCACAAAGAGUGGCCUUUAAGAAGAAACUAUAUGCACACAUUAAAUAGCUCCUGAAGUGCUUCAAUACCUCAGGGAAUAUGGAUAAUUCCUUCAACGUUCUGACUCGAGAUCUCUAGAGAACCUGGUGUGUUACCAUCUUUGUGGAUAUGGAGAGGACUGUUGUAAGGAAGAAUGAUUUGACUCAUCCUUUGGCUUUCUGGAAGGAAUUAGGACAGAUAAGUAUAAAUGAUUUUACAGCCUAAAACUCAGUGAAAGGAGGAACAUUGUAAUAGAGAGAUCUAAAGAUGGCAUGGACUACUUCAGGAGGAGGUAAGUUCCCUGUCACUGAAGACAUGCAAGUAGAAAUGGGAUCAACCUUUGGUGGGAUGCUCCAUGAUUUUUUAAAAUUCUCAUUUGUAACUAUAUACAACUGAGUCUAUUGUUUUUUUACCAAGUAGUACAAAUAAUAUAGUUGCACAUAGGCAAUAUAUCAAAAUUAGGAAAUAUUUAUCAAGAGGGAAAAGAAAAUAUCAUUUCAGGCAUCCUUAGGGAACUUUUUUAGAGAACUGGGAUAUCCAAAUCAUCCUCCAAAAAAGUCCUUCUAAAUAUUAAGAAAGCAAAACAAAUAUUAUUAAAUAUUUAAUACUUACUAUUGCUAACUUGUUGGUGUUAGGGCAGACUUAUGGUGAUAAAAUUAUAUUUGUAUUUGCUGGAUGAGUAUAUUUUACCACAUCGGUCCCCUUGUAAAGUAUAUUUGUGACCAUUUUAUAAAAUUUUGAAGCAUAUUUUUAUCUUAAAUCUUCAUAGGGUUGAUCUUUGCUUUUUGUAAAAUAUUAUUCAGCACACUAUGAUUUAUCUAUGACAUUGUUCUGAUGGAAAAAUACAGCUUGUAUUAUGGCACCACCCCUAGGUAUAUUUUGUGGGAAAUCCCUUUAAUAUACAGUGAGGGCAAAGGUUUGGCUGUUGAAUGGGUACCAGGGAAGGGGGUCAGAAGGUGCAAACUACUGGGGCCGAGGAUGCUGCCCAUGCUGCUGCUGGAGUAGGGGCUAAAGAGUUGCUCAUGGCACCAACUAUCACUUCUUACCCUUUUCUGUUUUCAAGAUCACCACCAAAACCUUGAAGCAACCUCGAAGUAGGACAAAAGAAGGUUGAGGGAGAGGCAUCUUGAACACCUGAAAUGACUCUGCCCCAGUGCUGCAUUCAUGAGUGAUAUUUUAGUACUGAGCCAGGAGGUUGUGGCCCACUGGAUUGCUGAAAGCCGUAUUGCCAUUGAAGAGAUCCGCUUGUUGACCCUGAAAGCUGCCCACAGCAUCGACACACUGGGCAGUGCUGGCGCCAAGAAGGAGAUUGCAAUGAUCAAAGU